rnacentral:rRNA from 1 species
GAUGAACGCUAGCGGGAGGCCUAACACAUGCAAGCCGAGCGGUAGAAGAUCUUCGGAUCUUUGAGAGCGGCGCACGGGUGCGGAACACGUGUGCAACCUGCCUUUAUCUGGGGGAUAGCCUUUCGAAAGGAAGAUUAAUACCCCAUAAUAUAUUUUACGGCAUCGUAAUAUAUUGAAAACUCCGGUGGAUAGAGAUGGGCACGCGCAAGAUUAGAUAGUUGGUGAGGUAACGGCUCACCAAGUCAAUGAUCUUUAGGGGGCCUGAGAGGGUGAUCCCCCACACUGGUACUGAGACACGGACCAGACUCCUACGGGAGGCAGCAGUGAGGGAUAUUGGACAAUGGGUGAGAGCCUGAUCCAGCCAUCCCGCGUGAAGGACUAAGGCCCUAUGGGUUGUAAACUUCUUUUAUACUGGGAUAAACCUACUUACGUGUAAGUAGCUGAAGGUACAGUAUGAAUAAGCACCGGCUAACUCCGUGCCAGCAGCCGCGGUAAUACGGAGGGUGCAAGCGUUAUCCGGAUUUAUUGGGUUUAAAGGGUCCGUAGGCGGAUCUGUAAGUCAGUGGUGAAAUCUCAUAGCUUAACUAUGAAACUGCCAUUGAUACUGCAGGUCUUGAGUGAGAUUGAGGUAGCUGGAAUAAGUAGUGUAGCGGUGAAAUGCAUAGAUAUUACUUAGAACACCAAUUGCGAAGGCAGGUUACCAAGUCUUAACUGACGCUGAUGGACGAAAGCGUGGGGAGCGAACAGGAUUAGAUACCCUGGUAGUCCACGCCGUAAACGAUGCUAACUCGUUUUUGGGCUUUCGGGUUCAGAGACUAAGCGAAAGUGAUAAGUUAGCCACCUGGGGAGUACGAUCGCAAGAUUGAAACUCAAAGGAAUUGACGGGGGCCCGCACAAGCGGUGGAGCAUGUGGUUUAAUUCGAUGAUACGCGAGGAACCUUACCAAGACUUAAAUGGGAAAUGACAGAUUUAGAAAUAGAUCCUUCUUCGGACAUUUUUCAAGGUGCUGCAUGGUUGUCGUCAGCUCGUGCCGUGAGGUGUUAGGUUAAGUCCUGCAACGAGCGCAACCCCUGUCACUAGUUGCUAACAUUCAGUUGAGGACUCUAGUGAGACUGCCUACGCAAGUAGAGAGGAAGGUGGGGAUGACGUCAAAUCAUCACGGCCCUUACGUCUUGGGCCACACACGUGCUACAAUGGCCAGUACAGAGGGCAGCUACCAGGUGACUGGAUGCGAAUCUCGAAAGCUGGUCUCAGUUCGGAUUGGAGUCUGCAACUCGACUCUAUGAAGCUGGAAUCGCUAGUAAUCGCGCAUCAGCCAUGGCGCGGUGAAUACGUUCCCGGGCCU